rnacentral:misc_RNA from 1 species
GAUCCCAUACAAUUUUAUUGAGGAUGUAUCUUCUUAGAAGAACCAGAAGCAGCAAUAUAGCUUCUUCUAUGUUGUUUCUAGGUAUGAAGGAACCUUCUGCCUGCGCACGAAGAUUUGGAGGAGCUGCAUCAGUGCCACUGUAUAAGAGAAAUAUAGCAUACUCCUUUUCUAUUUUGCUUCUCGUUUCCACGUCAAGAUUCCAACAAUAAAGCAGGGCCCUUCUAUACGACAAAAUUGCUUCUUGAGGAGCACAAGCUAGCUUCCACAGCUCAGGAAGUAACUCCACUGCCUUGUUCAACGUUUCCAACAAUUUGCAAUCAGUAGAAAAGUUUUCAGGUAAGCCAUCUGGCAAAGCAGACUCAACUGUAUCCAGUAUCACUGCACAUGACUGAGCAGCUUCUGUGAACCUCCCAAGAGCCUGCAAGGAUGUUGCUUUGAGUAAAAUGGCCUCAAAGAGAAGACUUACUGCAUGCAUUGACAUAGGUGGGAUAGCAUCACUAAGCGAAUUCCGCCUAGGUACCUCACCUCUUCUUGCGAUGGAAAGUUUUAUCUUGGGAACCACCGCAGCAAUAUCUAUUCCCUCAAAUACAUGAAGAGCAGCCUCAAUGUUACCUUUUUGAUACUCAAGUCGACCUAAUAAUGCUCUUGCUUCCUCAUAAUU